rnacentral:rRNA from 1 species
CCCCGGGCUCAACCUGGGAACUGCGUUNUGAACUGGGUAGCUAGAGUAUGUCAGAGGGGGGUAGAAUUCCACGUGUAGCAGUGAAAUGCGUAGAGAUGUGGAGGAAUACCGAUGGCGAAGGCAGCCCCCUGGGAUAAUACUGACGUUCAUGCUCGAAAGCGUGGGUAGCAAACAGGAUUAGAUACCCUGGUAGUCCACGCCCUAAACGAUGUCGAUUAGCUGUUGGGCAACUUGAUUGCUUAGUAGCGUAGCUAACGCGUGAAAUCGACUGCCUGGGGAGUACGGUCGCAAGAUUAAAACUCAAAGGAAUUGACGGGGACCCGCACAAGCGGUGGAUGAUGUGGAUUAAUUCGAUGCAACGCGAAGAACCUUACCUGGUCUUGACAUGUACGGAAGAACUCAGAGACGAGUUUGUGCCUUCGGGAGCCGUAACACAGGUGCUGCAUGGCUGUCGUCAGCUCGCGUCGUGAGAUGUUGGGUUAAGUCCCGCAACGAGCGCAACCCUUGUCAUUAGUUGCCAUCAUUUAGUUGGGCACUCUAAUGAGACUGCCGGUGACAAACCGGAGGAAGGUGGGGAUGACGUCAAGUCCUCAUGGCCCUUAUGACCAGGGCUUCACACGUCAUACAAUGGUCGGUACAGAGGGUAGCCAAGCCGCGAGGUGGAGCCAAUCCCAGAAAACCGAUCGUGGUCCGGAUUGCACUCUGCAACUCGAGUGCAUGAAGUCGGAAUCGCUAGUAAUCGCAGGUCAGCAUACUGCGGUGAAUACGUUCCCGGGUCUUGUACACACCGCCCGUCACACCAUGGGAGUGGGGGAUACCAGAAGUAGGUAGGGUA